GACGAACGCUGGCGGCGUGCUUAACACAUGCAAGUCGAACGGAGCGAAUGAAAGCUUGCUUUUAUGAGCUUAGUGGCAAACGGGUGAGUAACACGUAGACAACCUGCCGAUCAGAUGGGGACAACAUUCCGAAAGGAAUGCUAAUACCGAAUGGCGUGUAGGGGAGGCAUCUUCCCUACAUGAAAGAUGGCCUCUAUAUAUAAGCUAUCACUGAUCGAUGGGUCUGCGUCUGAUUAGCUAGUAGGUAAGGUAACGGCUUACCUAGGCGACGAUCAGUAGCCGGUCUGAGAGGAUGAACGGCCACAUUGGGACUGAGACACGGCCCAGACUCCUACGGGAGGCAGCAGUGGGGAAUCUUCCGCAAUGGGCGCAAGCCUGACGGAGCAACGCCGCGUGAGUGAAGAAGGUCUUCGGAUCGUAAAGCUCUGUUGAAGGGGACGAACGAUCGAGGGGCGAACAGGCUCUCGGUAUGACGUACCUUUGAGAAGCCACGCA
rnacentral:rRNA from 1 species